rnacentral:lncRNA from 1 species
CUAAGUUAUUUUAUUUAUUUAUUUAUUUAUUUAUUUAUUUAUUUAUUUAUUUAUUUCAGAAGUCAUGUGGGUAUCCCAGUUCAUGGAAAUUUACUAAUUGCAGAAUCCUGUCGGAAAGCUGUGUGAUACAGCAAUGGGAUGGCCAUGGCUAUUUUCACUUGAAGUUAGUGAGAAGUGCAAAGGCCUUGAUGAAGGUAAGAUGCCUUGGUCUCCUUGACUGGACCGUGCCAGUUGAUACCGUGAGUACUUGGAUUAGUGCCUCACACUCGAAAGGCCAUAAAUGGCAGUUAUUACUACAGAAACAUUUGCAAUAAACACAGGCUUAUGAGGGUGGU